rnacentral:rRNA from 1 species
CACGAACCGUGCGAACGUUAUUCGGAAUUACUGGGCUUAAAGAGUUCGUAGGCGGCGUGUUAAGUUGGGUGUGAAAUCCCUUGGCUCAACCAAGGAAUUGCGCUCAAAAACUAGCAUGCUUGAGGAAGACAGGGGGUAAGCGGAACUGAUGGUGGAGCGGUGAAAUGCGUAGAUAUCAUCAGGAACACCGGUGGCGAAGGCGGCUUACUGGGUCUUUUCUGACGCUGAGGAACGAAAGCUAGGGGAGCGAACGGG